rnacentral:rRNA from 1 species
AACUCCAGCUUGCUGGGGGGAUUAGUGGCGAACGGGUGAGUAACACGUGAGUAACCUGCCCUGGACUCUGGGAUAACCCCGAGAAAUCGGAGCUAAUACCGGAUAGGACCUUGAACCGCAUGGUUUGGGGUGGAAAGUUUUUCGGUCUGGGAUGGACUCGCGGCCUAUCAGCUUGUUGGUGAGGUAAUGGCUCACCAAGGCGUCGACGGGUAGCCGGCCUGAGAGGGUGACCGGCCACACUGGGACUGAGACACGGCCCAGACUCCUACGGGAGGCAGCAGUGGGGAAUAUUGCACAAUGGGCGCAAGCCUGAUGCAGCAACGCCGCGUGCGGGAUGACGGCCUUCGGGUUGUAAACCGCUUUUAGUAAGGAAGAAGGGAAGCGCAAGCUUUUUGACGGUACUUGCAGAAAAAGGACCGGCUAACUACGUGCCAGCAGCCGCGGUAAUACGUAGGGUCCGAGCGUUGUCCGGAAUUAUUGGGCGUAAAGAGCUCGUAGGCGGUUUGUCGCGUCUGCUGUGAAAUCCCGAGGCUCAACCUCGGGUCUGCAGUGGGUACGGGCAGACUGGAGUGCGGUAGGGAGAAUGGAAUUCUGGUGUAGCGGUGGAAUGCGCAGAUAUCAGAGAACACGAUGGCGAAGGCAGUUCUCUGGGCCGUAACUGACGCUGAGACGAAA